UCUUACGGGGAGUGCAAACUAAUCGUGACUUUAUAAAAGCCGUCGGUGUUCAGUUUAAACACAUAUAGGAUCUUGGAUUUUUGUCCUCCUUGAUUCAAAUAUCAAAAUGAAAGUCACCCUAAGCAUAUUGAUUCUGUUUGGGGUAUUUGCCUGUGUUUCUGCUGGGGGGUAUGGACAUAACCAUUGGGGCGCCUAUAGACAAUAUUACUAUCAACCAAGACAGUUAAUUUACCAAGCACAACAGCCAUAUUACGUAACCUAUGCUGCUGCACAACCUUUUGGUGUCGGUGUGGGUGGCGGAUCCAACGCUGGAUCAAUAAUUCCAAUCAUAAUCAUUUUUGUUCUUCUUGCAAUAUUCGCUCCUGCGUUGAUUGCCUCUUUGGCUAGCAGCAAUGAGGCUUUCUAUGACAGUGUCAGUUAGAAAUAGAUGGAAUGAGACAUAAUAGGAAAAGGAUGUAAAUAAUUGACUGCCUGUAACAGAAUAUAGAAUAAAGACUUAAGACUUUUU